UGGGGGAUAUUGCACAAUGGGCGAAAGCCUGAUGCAGCGACGCCGCGUGGGGGAUGAAGGCUUUCGGGUUGUAAACCUCUUUCGCUAUCGAACAAGGCCCGCUUAGGGUGGGUUGAGGGUAGGUGGAGAAGAAGCGCCGGCUAACUACGUGCCAGCAGCCGCGGUAAUACGUAGGGCGCGAGCGUUGUCCGGAAUUAUUGGGCGUAAAGGGCUUGUAGGCGGCUUGUUGCGCCUGCUGUGAAAACGCGGGGCUUAACUUCGCGCGUGCAGUGGGUACGGGCAGGCUUGAGUGUGGUAGGGGUGACUGGAAUUCCCGGUGUAGCGGUGGAAUGCGGAGAUAUCUGGAGGAAAACCGAUGGCGAAGGCAGGUCACUGGGCCAUUACUGACGCUGAGGAGCGAAAGCAUGGGUAGCGAACAGG
rnacentral:rRNA from 1 species